rnacentral:rRNA from 1 species
UUGACCUCGGAUCAGGUAGGGAUACCCGCUGAACUUAAGCAUAUCAAUAAGCGGAGGAAAAGAAACCAACAGGGAUUGCCCCAGUAACGGCGAGUGAAGCGGCAAGAGCUCAAAUUUGAAAGCUGGCUCCUUCGGGGUCCGCAUUGUAAUUUGCAGAGGAUGCUUCGGGAGCGGUCCCCAUCUAAGUGCCCUGGAACGGGACGUCAUAGAGGGUGAGAAUCCCGUAUGGGAU